rnacentral:rRNA from 1 species
UACGUAGGGGGCAAGCGUUGUCCGGAAUCAUUGGGCGUAAAGCGCGUGUAGGCGGCCCAGUAAGUCCGCUGUGAAAGCCCAGGGCUCAACCCUGGGAUGCCGGUGGAUACUGUUGGGCUCGAGUCCGGAAGAGGCGAGUGGAAUUCCCGGUGUAGCGGUGAAAUGCGCAGAUAUCGGGAGGAACGCCAAUGGCGAAGGCAGCUCGCUGGGACGUGACUGACGCUGAGACGCGAAAGCGUGGGGAGCAAACAGG